rnacentral:rRNA from 2 species
UAGGGAAUCUUCGGCAAUGGACGAAAGUCUGACCGAGCAACGCCGCGUGAGUGAAGAAGGUUUUCGGAUCGUAAAACUCUGUUGUUAGAGAAGAACAAGGACGUUAGUAACUGAACGUCCCCUGACGGUAUCUAACCAGAAAGCCACGGUUAACUACGUGCCAGCAGCCGCGGUAAUACGUAGGUGGCAAGCGUUGUCCGGAUUUAUUGGGCGUAAAGCGAGCGCAGGCGGUUUCUUAAGUCUGAUGUGAAAGCCCCCGGCUCAACCGGGGAGGGUCAUUGGAAACUGGGAGACUUGAGUGCAGAAGAGGAGAGUGGAAUUCCAUGUGUAGCGGUGAAAUGCGUAGAUAUAUGGAGGAACACCAGUGGCGAAGGCGGCUCUCUGGUCUGUAACUGACGCUGAGGCUCGAAAGCGUGGGGAGCAAACAGG